rnacentral:rRNA from 1 species
CAGCCGCCGCGGGAAUACGUAGGUCCCGAGCGUUGUCCGGAUUUAUUGGGCGUAAAGCGAGCGCAGGCGGUUAGAUAAGUCUGAAGUUAAAGGCUGUGGCUUAACCAUAGUACGCUUUGGAAACUGUUUAACUUGAGUGCAAGAGGGGAGAGUGGAAUUCCAUGUGUAGCGGUGAAAUGCGUAGAUAUAUGGAGGAACACCGGUGGCGAAAGCGGCUCUCUGGUCUGUCACUGACGCUGAGGCUCGAGAGCGUGGGUAGCGAACAGGAUUAGAGACCCCUGUAGUCCCUGUCUCUUAUACA